UUCUGAGCCAUCAAGGGUUUGACCACUGCUAUUGGUCAUAACCAAAAUCAGCCACUCCUGUCAACAAUUUUCAUCAGGUAGAAAGGACCAUUUCCUAAAAUAUUCUAAGUUUAGGAGACUGAACCCUCCUUCCUUUGAUGAUGGACUCAAUCCUCUAGCUGCAGAAGUUUGGAUUCUGCAAAUAGAAAAACUUUUCUCUAUUUUGGACCUAAUCAAAGAAUAGAAGGUCCCCUUAGCUGUCUUUAUGUUUACAAGGGAAGGUGAACAUUAGUGACAACUUAAGAAAGAUGUCUUACCCACAUUUACAACUUGGGAUAUUUUUAUGGAGGUCUUUCUAGAUACUUCUUUUUGGUUUAUGUUUGGGAGAAGAAAGAAAAA
rnacentral:lncRNA from 1 species